CUCUCUCACCAGCCUCUCUUGACUUUCUCUUCCUCUCCCAUUUGGGGAGCCUGAGGCAGAGAGUGGAGAAACCAUCCUGAAGCUUGAUUAAAGACCCCAAGGUUGCAGGAGCCAUCACAGAACUCAAAGAAAAAAGGUGUAUUACAACUUUACUACAUAAAGACUCUCUUACCCAGUGGAAGGUCCUUGCUUAGCAUCUGGAUGACCAUCUUAAGCAUCAGCUGCCUUCUUAAGA